rnacentral:rRNA from 1 species
UACGUAGGGGGCAAGCGUUGUCCGGAUUUAUUGGGCGUAAAGAGCGUGUAGGCGGCCAUACAGGUCAGCUGUGAAAACUCGAGGCUCAACCUCGAGACGUCGGUUGAAACCGUAUGGCUAGAGUCCGGAAGAGGAGAGUGGAAUUCCCGGUGUAGCGGUGAAAUGCGCAGAUAUCGGGAAGAACACCCGUGGCGAAGGCGGCCCACUGGGCCGGUACUGACGCUGAGGCGCGAAGGCGUGGGGAGCGAACGGG